rnacentral:rRNA from 1 species
AAUGAACGCUGGCGGCAGGCCUAACACAUGCAAGUCGAACGGAUCCUUCGGGAUUAGUGGCGGACGGGUGAGUAACGCGUGGGAACAUACCCAAAGGUACGGAAUAGCCUCGGGAAACUGGGAGUAAUACCGUAUGUGCUCGAAAGAGGAAAGAUUUAUCGCCUUUGGAUUGGCCCGCGUUGGAUAGGUAGUUGGUGGGGUAAUGGCCUACCAAGCCGACGAUCCAUAGCUGGUUUGAGAGGAUGAUCAGCCACACUGGGACUGAGACACGGCCAGGACUCCUACGGGGGGCAGCAGUGGGGAGUCUUAGACAAUGGGGGAAACCCUGAUCUAGCCAUGCCGCGUGAUCGAUGAAGGCUUUAGGGUUGUAAAGAUCUUUCAGGUGGGAAGAUAAUGCCGGUACCACCAGAAGAAGCCCCGGCUAACUCCGUGCCAGCAGCCGCCGUAA